rnacentral:lncRNA from 1 species
UUACGCUCGUAUUUCCGCUAUUUAUACAGUUUUUGUGGGACAUUUUUCGAUUGUUUUUUCACACUCGGAUUGAAAUCGCGUUUUUUUUAGCAAACUGUUUAUUUAUUUUAUUGUUUUUUGCACUCGGAUUAAAAGAACACAACUCACAUUUGCCGAACCCGCCUGGCACUCCUUGCCGUCAUUAUGACCAUCGACACCAACACUUGCACUGAACACUGCACUCACUUCUGCCGAACCCGCCUGGCACUCCUUGCCGUCAUUAUGACCAUCGACACUUACUCUUGCACUUACACUGAGUGAGAUGUAUGUAUUUCCGCUCUUUUUCUAGUCUUGCGGGACAUUCAACUGUUUUUGCUGUUCACUCACUCUCACUUCACUCACUUUGGCCGAACCCGCCUGGCCCUCCUUGCCAUCAUUAUGACCAUCGACACUAACACUGCACUCACUUUUGCCGAACCCGCCUGGCACUCCUUGCCGUCGUUAUGACCAUCGACACUUACACUUGCACUUACACUGAGUGAGAUUUAUGUAUUUCCGCUCUUUUUCUAGUCUUGCGGGACAUUCAACUGUUUUUGCUGUUCACUCACUCUCACUUCACUCACUCUCACUUGACUCACUUUGGCCGAACCCGCCUGGCCCUCCUUGCCGUCAUUAUGACCAUCGACACUAACACUUGCACUGAACACUGCACUCACUUCUGCCGAACCCGCCUGGCACUCCUUGCCGUCAUUAUGACCAUCGACACUUACACUUGCACUUACACUGAGUGAGAUGUAUGUAUUUCCGCUCUUUUUCUAGUCUUGCGGGACAUUCAACUGUUUUUGCUGUUCACUCACUCUCACUUCACUCACUUUGGCCGAACCCG